rnacentral:lncRNA from 1 species
UGAUUUGGUUAAGCGGUUCUUUGACGUAAUUCUCUGCAGCUUUUGGACUUCGGUUUUGUGUUAAGUAGUAAGCAAUGCUUUUUGGGGAUGUAAGCUGUUAAACCUAUCAGCUACCGCUCGUGUGCCUGGACAGAAGUAUUUCGAGAGUUUAGUGGGACUGGAUCAGGUUCUGAUCCUUGGAAGUUGAGACUAUUUACAAUGUGUUGGUGUUUGGUAACUUCGAGUAGGCUGGUAAUGCUCUUCGUAGGUGUAUUGCUAUCACAAAUCCUGCAGUGGAGUAAGAAACUUGCUAAUGCACUCUUCAUGUUUUAUCCUGUUUUAUUGUUGUUGCGAGCUCGAGUUGUUGUAGGCUAGAUUUAAUUUCUAUAAAGCUUGGCUAUCAAAGUUAAGGAGCCUACAGAGAGAUUAGUCAAUUUGGGAAUUUUGCCAUUCUUAUUUAGGCUUUCUAACGAGCUAUUGGGCUGGAAUAUGUGUACUGUUCUACUCCCUCCGUUCCUAAAUAUAGGUCUUUUUACAUUUCAAAUGGACUACAACAUACGGAUGUGUGUAUGUAGACAUAUUUUAGAGUGUAGAUUCACUCAUUUAGCUCCGGAUGCUGUCACUUGUUGGAAUCUCUAGAAAGACUUAUAUUUGGGAACGGAGGGAGUAUUACCUUUCCUAUGUUAGGUACCCCUCAAAAAAAAAUUCCUAUGUUAAGUCAGUGGUAAAUCAGUUGUUCAAAGCAUGUGGGAUCCAUACCAGGUUGUGUAAGAAGAGUAAUGACGUAACCUGUAAUAAAUACCUUGAUCAAAUGAACUAAUUUACAAAAAUCACAUCAUUUUUGGGAAACUUGUUCGUUCUUUUGAACUAGACUAGAGAGGAGUGGAGGCUAACAUAGGGUCAUUAAUCUGCACCUCUACCAGUAUCUGUUGGAGAUUUCACUUGUGCUCCUUUGUUUCUUGUCCUGGAACCUGUGCCCUGGCCUGUUGCAUUCUCUAUGGCAGGUCAGUCCCCCCUCUACCCACGAUGAUUCAGGACCAAUCGUUAGUGUGAGCGUACAAUAAUGUUUCUAAUGAAAGUUUAAAUUAUCAGAUAGCUUCCAGUACUUUGAGAAUGAGCUUUGCAGUUGUACCUAUUCUUCUGUCUAUGCCGUUAAUCUUAGGUCAUGGAGUUUGUGUUCUAUAUAAUCUAAUUUUGCCGUUAAUCUUACAUUUCAGAUGCCUAUGUGCAACAUGCAUUCACAUUCCGAUUGUAGCGCUAACAUUAUUGCAUUGGAAUAUUUUGUUUGACAUUAUUGUUUAGUUGAUAUAUAAGUGCUCAGACCAUUUCUUGUUCUUGAUUGUAUUGUUUACUUUACUUGGUGACGAUCUCAUGAGUAUGUAGUGCUACUGUAUCAUGGUUGGCUAUUAGUGUUCCAAAUGUUUCUUAGGACAAUCCAAACUUGUUUCAGUGGGAAAUAUUUUCCUUUUAAAUUCCUUGGCCCCGACUUAACUGAAAGCAAGCAUCAAGCAGACACUGGCCAUGGGAAUGCGAGUUGCGACUAUACACCAAACAUGUGGUCCAUACCAUGUAUUGUUCUUGGUUGUGAUGCUUCCUGUGCAUGAACUAAAAGCUCGGAGUACAGUAAUAUCUCUUCCAGUUGUGAUGCUUCCCAUUUAUCAGUCGUGGCAAACAGUCUGCUUGAGAAAUUCUACCUCCCAGCCCUUAUUGAUCCAGGACCUAAUUGUUUACUGUGAUCAUAUCAUAAUUUCUUUGAUGGAAGACUGGAAGUUCAGAUCAUAUCAGAUACGUAGGUUCCAAAGGUUCUGUCUAUGAGCUUUGCAGCUGUAGCUGUCUGAUGAGCUUUGCAGCUGCAGCUGCUUUGCUGUCUAUGCUGUUAAUCUUUAGCCUUUUGUUGCCUAUGUCGUUAAUCUUAGGUCUGGGAGUUCGAGUUCUAUAAUCUAGUUUAGCAAUUGGCUUCAAUGAUGUUAUUUUCCUUUCAGAUGCCUAUGUGCAGCAGUCAUUCACAUUUCGAUUGUAGCACUAUCAUGAUUGCAAACAAGGGUCUUUUUAAUUGUAGCACUAACAGGUCUUGAAGAUUUUGUUUGACAUUUGUUUGUCUAGAUGACCUAUCGUAGCAUCCAAGGGUCUUUUCACGUACUAUGUUUCUGUGUUCAAACUUUUCAGUUAGUGAUAUACAAAUUGCUCAGACCAUUCUCUUGUUCCUGAUUGUGUUGUUUACCUUACUUGCUGAUGAUCUUGUGAAUAUGUGGUGCAGCCCUAUCAUUGUUUUGCUUUGAGGGGUUCAGAAUAUUUCUUUGGACAAUCAAACUUCUUUCAGGUGGAAAUAUUUUUCCUUUGAACUUCUUUGGCCCGUAAUGACUCAACUGAAAUCAAGCAUAAGUACUUCUCAGCUGUGGCCAUACGCCAAAGAUGUGUGUGAUCUGCCAAUCUGCUAUCCUGUCCAUUUAGUCCAGCAGUCAGAUGGCGUGCCACACAUGAAGCAAUCAGGCAUGUUUUGUAACACGAACGCUAAACCCUUUGCAAUGAUUGAUCAAACCAAGCAGAAGCAGGUACCAGCGCCGCUGGCUGGGCCGAAUAAUGGUGCGUGCAUGAUCUCAACCAAGUUGGAUGCUUGAUCUGAAUAGAUUGGAGAUGUCGUACGCACUUGCCCUGUAGAUUUGUUUGUUGGCUGGAUCUUAACUUAAUCGGCAGCAUAUGCUGCCCCUCAACUUGCAUACAUUUCCAAGUGCCGUGUUUGGGGGACUUUGACCGCUGCUUGUUUAAGUUGGUCGCGGCGGGAUGGGUUAUUAGCGCAUCGCUAAUGGAAUCCCUAAUAAUAAUUUAGAGGAUCUUUAACUCCUCAAAAUUUUACUCCUCUACAAUGGCCGUACCUCGCCAAACCCUUAAAUUUAACUCCUCAAACGAACUUUUUUUCCAACCGGGCUCAUACCCUUUUUCAUUAAUUUUGCAAUCAACGGAAAUACAUCAGUCAUGUGUCGAUCAUGUUUCACAAGAUAAGCACCGAGCCAGCUAAAGAUAACUACCCAGCAAAAGGAGACUGAAAGGGGCACGAGCGAGUUGGUGCAUCGACAGGAAACCCACUGCAUGACAGCCCUAGAACGGAUUAUCAGCUGUGGGGCGAAAACCUGACGACACUACAACCACAACUCGAACCAAAAGCACCUGAUCUAGGACAUAGGAACUCUAAAGAGGAUGGAUCCGUAUCAUCAAAAGAACAAUUCCAGUGGGCAUCAGACCCCAGUGGAUAUAGGCCAGUCUAAAAGUAACAGGAUCAAGACAGCUCCCCAAUCUGAAUACCAUCCCCAUCUCCCAGGAGCAGCCUGCUACGAGCAUAUGAUCUGUCCGUCAGAGCAGCCGCCACAUUAGCCAGCCUCUUCACCCCCACUUGGAAUCUCAUCUUGUCUUCCUCCUUAAGCAAUCCUGCCCAGUAUAACUCCUCAAACGAACUGACCCCACAUAAAAGUAUAUGUUCAUCUCCUUCUACCUUCUUCCUUCCACGGCGCUCCCAAGUCUUUGCCACAACGACGAGAUCCCCCAGCCUUGAUACCGCCACCUCGCCAUCGGUCUUCGCCACCACGACGAGGUCCAACGCGCCUGUGCCCAUGCUGCCUAGCUGAAGGUUUGGUCGUGCUCGCCAUCGAAACCGACGGCGGCCUACCAGGUGCAUGUGUGGUGUGCGUGCACAACUCGGUCGGCGGCAGCGCAGGCGUUGCAGGACGCCACCAGAGCUCCAGGACGUGGCGGCCAUUGUAGGACGUCACAGAGGCAAGCGCACAUAGCCGACGGCGUACGCACACGAUUUUAUGAAGUUCCUUGCUGCCAGCGAGAUUCCGGCGCCAACGAGAGGCGGCGGAGUUGCGAGGGCGUAGGAGGGUUCCAUUUUCCCGGUCACCAAGGUGGUUGACGGCCGGCGGCGUGGAUUUCGGCAGCAGUAGACGCGAGAAAUGGAAGGGAAUUUUUUUAAGGGGCGGCGUCGCAGAGAAGUAAAUAUAGAAGAGUUGGACGUUGGAGUAAACUUAAGUCCUUAAAAUUUUACUCCUCUAGAGAUUUGAGGGUUCGACUAGGUACAAAGGAGUAAAAUGAGGACUUAUAGGUUUUUAAGGGAUCCAUUGAAGAUCUCUUAAGGCCCCUUUGAUACAAAGGAAUUUCAUAGGAUUUUUAUAGGAUUUGGAUCCUUAGGAUUUUUUUUUGUGAUGGUCGUUUGAUUUGUAGGAUUGGAAUCCUUAGGAUUUUUUUCAUAGGUUUCAUUUGUACUACAUUUUGAAGGAAACUUUUCAUUCACUCAAACUUUUUUGUAGGAUCCCAUCAAAAAAACUUUUUUGUAGGAUUCCUUUGUUUUUUCUAUGCUAUCAAACACUUCUCCAAAUCCCAUAAGAUAUAAGAAGACAUGACACUCUAUUCCUAUAUUUUUCCUAUUCCUGCAUUUGAAAAUCUUGCGAAUCAAAGAGGGCCCUUAGUUUGAAAUGAUCCCAACCAAACAACCAAAUGCAUGUCAGAGGUGGUGGUUUAAUCAAGUCGGGAGGUUUGGUUCGUUGGACUGUCGUACUGUACUGCUGAUAUCGUGCUCGGUGUGCGCAUUUGUUUAUGGGAGAUGCGGUUGUCUGUUGAUGUUACUGAUAUUCUAGGUUUUGGACCACUUUCACAACUGGCUUUGCUGAUAUAGUGAUGCCACCACGCUUACUCUAUAAGCCUGGAGCACUUAACAACUUUGGCUUCAACAUCUAGGCAACUUUACAACUAUGCAUUUCUCUUAGAUGCAGUUGCUGAUAUAGUGAUACAUUUUUCCGGCUAUUAGAAAGCUUGAAUUUUUCUCUCACUAUGUACUCUCCUUAAUUUGUACUCCUUUCGUCCGGAAAUACUUGUCAUCAAACUAGAUAAAAAGGAAUGUAUCUAAAUGUAUUUUAAUUCUAGAUACAUUGCUUUUUAUCCAUUUUAAUGACAAAUAUUUUCGGACGGAGGAAGUACUUCUCCGUUUUAAAAUAAGUGUCUUAAUUUUAUACUAACUUUAAUUUAAAAUUGUACUAAGGAUGAGACACUUAUUUUGAGGUAGAGGAUCUAUAUACAUAUAGAUGUGCACUGAGUUGCCAUAAGGCAGCUGGGCGUUUACUACACACCUACUCUAGAAAGAUAAGUACUUCUUCCGUUCCAAAUUACUUGUUGUAGGUAGUUCUAGAUACAUCCAUACCUGCGACGAGUAAUUCGGACGGAGGGAGUAUUUGGAAACGGAUGGAGUAGUAGCUAUCACCACUGUCAUUUUAUUUUGCGAACGUACUCUUAAACAUUCAUCGGAAACACAUGGGGUCACGUUGUGAGCAGUCAAAGCCCGGCAGGAAUUCCCUGAUGGCGCCAAAUGCAGGAUAAAAACAAGGACGUUCGGGUACAGUUGCUAUCCUGCACCUUGCCAUUUCUUUAUGGGCCGCGGCCAAUAAACAAGGCACCUAAUCUCGGGCCAUGCUGCCAUGGCGCCGUUCGAGAUCGGACAGUUCAUCGCGGCGCCCGGGCAGCCAUUAUAUAUCCGUCUCUGGAUCUAGCAAAUCACAGCCCCGCACCGCAUUGAUCGUCUCCCGUCUCCACACCUGCGCUACCCACUGUGCUUCGCUUGGCAUCCGUCCACACACACACACACACGCAACCAGCAGCAGCCUGCAUUCCCAUGGCCAGCCUGGUGCACCAGACGGCGGCCCCGAUGCCGGCCGCGGCGGCGAUGGACGACGACUUCAUGCCGCAGAGCUUCGGGUGCUUCGGGCGGUCGCUGUCUCGGGCGUCGUCGGCCCGGCGGCUGGAGUACAGGGCGCUGAGCGGCGAGGGCGGGGAGGAGAUGAGGCGCAUCGCGCAGGAGGAGCGGUCGGCCAGGGCGAAGCUGCGGUGGAAGGCGGUGGCGCAGGAGAUCAUGGCCAGGAGGAGGGGCGGCGGCGGCGGAGGCGCGGCGCGGAGGAGGAAGGCGGGGUUCAGCUACGACUCCAAGAGCUACGCGCUCAACUUCGACCAAGGCGCCGCCGCCGAGUAGCCAGCGAGCGAGCGAGCGAGAUCGCUGGCGAUCGAGAUGCAGCUAGCGCCUAGCGUACUGGCGAGCGUGCGUGGCUGGCGCUGCGGCCAGCCGACUGGCGACCGAUGCCGGCGGGGGAAUGGGGCGGCCGUGGCAUGGUUAUUGUUGGUUGAGAAUUGAGAAUGUGGAGGUCUAGUUUUGUGCCAGAUCUUGUGUUCUUUGGUUGGUUAUUCUUAGUUGAGAAUUGAGAUGUUGGGUGCAUGUGCAGGAGUUGGCUGAUGCGUCCUGACAUAUUCAUGUGGUGUAAUAAGAUGAGCUGCUAGAUGUUUCAAAGUGAAUUCACUGCAUUUACUAUAAUGGUUGUUUCACCAGUAAAUGCUCCCUCGUCCAUGCUCCGGGAAACAUAAGAGUGAGGCUACACGUCACGCGACUGACUUUUUCAAAUCAGGUCAGUCGAUUUUUCAAACGUACGACCGAAAUCUAACGGCGCCCGACCUUUCUUCUACCUCCAUCUCUUCUUCUUCUCCAGCCGCCGCCCGAGCCACCGGCCUCAUCGCCCGCGACCGCCACCCGUGGCCGGCGGCGCUCCCACGCCGCCCUGCCCUCUUCCUGAAACCGCCCCCACCGCCGGUCUAGUCGCCGCCCCCGGCCAUCCCUUUAGGCCUGUCGGUGGGAACGACACCUAUGGGAUCACAAGAAUCCCUACUGUGAUUAUCGGGGCGCGGGGUCAUGAGAAGAGCGGAUCAAACAGAUAGCACACGGUUCGUUUAUCCAGGUUCAGGCCGCGAGGAUGCGUAAAGCCCUACUUCUGCUUUGGUGGAUUGUAUAUCUGUGUUCUUGAGCUAGCUAUGGGGCGUGAGGAGCUCCAAAAAGCCGAAUCCUUCCUCUGGUCGCCUUGGGGGGGUUGCCACAGUGGCACACAGGAGGUGGAAAGGGUACAUGAUGCGAGGUUAUCCCUCGCAUUACAUGACAAGGCGCAUUUAAUGCGUCUUGCUUACGUGUCCUUGCUUUAUCGGGAACGGGGGAGAAACCUGUCUCGUCCGUCGCCGCUCCUUCUUGUGUCGACACGCGCCCUGGCCAGCGAAGCCUGAGAUGCCAUGUAGGUAGGCAGGUAGCUGAGGUGGCGCAGUGGUGGGUCUUCAUAAAGAUCUGCAUGCCGCCACGCGGGUGCCUGCCCAGCUGGUUGGGUCAGCAGCUGCAUGCAUGCGGUGGUGGAGGUUUAGUCGGCGUGGGCCUGAUGGUGGCCCUGCGGGUGUCCUCGGCGCUUACCGGGGGCCUUGUGGUCUUCCUUGGCUGGGAUCCCGUCAAGGGUUGUCGUCUCCUUAGUGCGUAUCUGAUCUUGAAUGUCUUCACAAAGAUCUGCAUGCCGCCACGGGGAUGUCUCCCGAAUCCUUGCCCUUUGGGGGCAGUGGACUCAAGGGUGAUUUGCUCCGUAGGCGCGGGACGAGUCGCCGCGGCAAGGGUCUUGCCGGGGCUCCUAGAACUGUCUCCCGGCAAGGAUCUUGUCGGGGGAGUCCGCUUCGUCCCCUUUGCUCUUCGUGGUCUUAGCCUUGGCGUCGUUCUAGUUCUCUUGAGCUUCGGUCUUACCUUGGCUCACCUCCCUUGCCUUGCUUGGUGUGGUGGUAUCCACGGCUCAGACUGCCCGUGCACGGUUAUAGGGGUACAAAAUGUGUACCCCUCUUUUUGUACACUGACAGGAGCCCCCGGGCCUGGGCCACACAUAAGCGCAACGCGUUGUUGGGCUAGGACCAAAAACGGUGCGCGGGCAGGCGGGACGGUUUUUACCGUGGCAAGAUUCUUCGCGCGCUGCGUUUCCCACGACUCCCGCACGUGACGCGGCGUGGGGAGGUGCGUGUGACGUGGGCAGCAUGCGUGGGGUUGGUUCGCGCGGGCAUGCGUCACACCACAGUUAAUGUGAAAGGAGGCGGCCCGUGUUUUCCCCCAUAAAAAAGGAAUAACCACGGGCGCGCUGCUCACUUUCUCCUCUUUCCUCGUGCCUUUUCCAAUCUCAGAGCCGCCGUUUUCUCUCUUCCUUCCUUCCUAAGCUUCAGCCCCUCCCUUCCAUCCGUCAUGGAGAGAGGGAAUCCCGGUCCUUCAACAGUGGCGGCGAGGGUCACCGCUCGACAAUGCGUCCCUCCUUCUCCUGCGCCUGCGGUGGCAGAGCCAGCAGUGAGGGGAAGGGGGAGGGGCGAGGCCGUGGGCGAGGCCGGGGCGCUCGGGGAAGGGGAGGACCGGGCGGCGCGCCGGCCUCGCCUCCGCCAGUAGCUCCUCCAAUGGAGGGCCAUGUUGGGGAUGACCCUUGUGAGUUCUUCGGCAGGCUGCGCCGGCCGCCGCGUCGUCGCCUUCGUCUCCCGACUCCAUUUGCGCGGGAGAUGGAGCUGGAUCCGCCGGAGUCGUUGCGGCUGCACAUGAGGGGCUGCGGGAUCAGUGGCAUGUGGGUCCGCGUCGACUUCCCCGCCCCUCACGUGAUGUAUCUUCGUCGGGGAUGGAAGACGUUUGCUCAUAUCCACCGCUUGACGGAGGGGCUCACUCUCCAUUUUAAGCUGAUGAAGGGUGGCCUUCUCUCCGUCAAGAUCUUCGGGCUCUUUGGGACCCGUGCGAGGUGCUGCGUGGAGAGAUCUUCUGAUAGUGAAGACUCCUCCUCGGGCGGGAGUGACGAGGAGGACAGCGGCAGCGACGACGAGGGUAGUAGGCAGCAGGAUGAUGGGUCCGACUAGGUGUCGGGUGCCGCUCCGUGCGGCACCGGCGACCCCAUCAUCCGUGUCGCCGGCUCCCUGAACUUCUCGGGGUCAUCUCCUUGGGUGGCUGGCGUUGGGAGGCUGCGGAAGAGGAAGAGGGCGGGCGACAAGGCCGUCAAGUCGGAGUACGCGGGCACUGAUGCCUUCGACGCGUGCUGACGUCCUGCCGCCUCGUCUUCGAGCUCUGCUUCCGGCGCCGCCAUCACCAUCCAGCCUUUGGACGGCCACCAAGAUGUUCUCUUGGUGUCUUCUGCCACCCGUAGCUCGCCUAGGCGCUCCUUUUGUCCUUUUCGCCUCCUUGACCUGCCUCCUGAGGAGAGGGACAAGAAAGGGAUUACGGGCACCUUAUCUCUUUUUAGUUUGUAAGCCUUCGUGCCUUUGCUGAAUUUAAAACUUGUAAUCCCAUCAUUCAUGUUUUUCAUUCCCUAUGGACUGUACCUGAGUGGAAUGUCUUUUUAAUGAAAAAGGGAUGCUUGCCGGGUCAUUUGUUUGCGGGUGGAACCCACGACAAGGAGUAAAUCCUUGAUAUCUUCAAGAUAAACAUUUCCUUGCCCGGCAACAUGCCUUGCCAUCUCCCCACUUCGCUCGACCUUCCUCACGCCUUUGACGGAGGUAGGGAUGAGGCGGGUUCAGGCUCCUUGUUUCAUCCUUUCGCUGCCGCGACUACGACCAAACUUGGCCCCAGGAACGAGCCCUAGGGCCUAGAGUUAGGGGAGCACGGUAGCUUAGGGGAAAACGAGGUUUCACAUACCUCAGUCCAUAAUGGAAUGCAUGAUAAGGGAUGAAGAACUUAUCUGAAGCUGCAGUCCCCGGCAACCCUAGUUCGCCGUGGGUGAAUCUUUGCUCUUGCAGCCCCCGGCAAUACUGGCUUGCCGGGGGCUAGAUGUUGGUCUGUUCCUCUUUUUUUUUCUCCCCAAGUGGUUCGGCACGGAUAUCUGUGUGUCCUGUGAACCAAAGAAGUCAAAAGAAAGAUAAAGAGAUGCACACUCGACCUCUAAGCUAGGGGUUAGUCGCCGCUAAGCACUAUCAACCCUAACCAAGGACGAGACUCGACCUAGCAUGCAUGCUAUAACUUAGGGCGCCAGCGCUUCAUUUAUUUAUGCUCAGGGUCUGCGCCUGGUUUUGUACAAAGGGUUACAUGCGUCAUCGGCAAGGCUCGUACAAAAGGUGGCUUGCCGGGGGGCCCGGCAAGCCGCACCUCACGGGUAAAACUUGCAGAUGCCCAAUGUUCCAGGAGUUACUCACCGAAACGACAUCUUCGGUCUCCAGGCGGACUGCGCCGGGCCUGGUGACUCGUAUUACCCGAUAAGGGCCUUCCCACUUUGGCGUCAACUUGUUGGAAUUCUUGGCUGAUUGAACGCCUCGAAGAACAAGGUCGCCAUCCUCAAAGCUUCGGGCAUUAACCUUGCGGCUAUGGUAGCGGCGCAAGGCUUGCUGGUAGCGCGCUGCUCUCACAGCCGCCCGAAGACGAUCUUCCUCAAGGAGCGUUGCGUCAUCUUGCCGCAAUUGCUCUUGCUCAAGCUCGUCAUAAGCGAGUACUCGAGGUGACCCGUAUAUGAGUUCCGUGGGGAGAACUGCUUCUGCCCCGUAUACCAGGGCAAAGGGUGUCUGGCCGGUGGCUCGAUUUGGUGUCGUUCUGAUUGACCAAAGAACCGCCGGCAAUUCAUCAAUCCAGCGCCUUCCACUCUUGUGCAGUCUGUCAAAGGUCUUUGUCCUCAGGCCUCGCAGUACUUCAGCAUUUGCCCUCUCAGCUUGACCAUUGCUUCGUGGGUGAGCAACGGAAGCGAAACAGACCUUGCUACCGAGGUCUUGAAUAUAUUGCAUGAAGGUGUGGCUUGUGAACUGUGUGCCGUUGUCGGUGAUAACCCUAUUGGGUAGACCAAAACGACACACCAGUCCUUUGAAGAAUUUGACGGCUGACUGUGCUAUGACCUUCCUCACUGCUUCCACUUCUGGCCACUUUGUGAACUUGUCGGUUGCAACGUACAAGUACUCAAAGCCCCCGACAGUGCGGGGGAAAGGGCCCAGUAUGUUGAGCCCCCAGACCGAGAAAGGCCAGGAGAGAGGAAUGGUUUGAAGGGCUUGAGCUGGCUGAUGAAACUUCUUUGAAUGGAACUGACACGCUUCACACCUGGUGACUAGUGUCGUCGCAUCCUGGAGGGCAGUGGGCCAGAAGAAACCUUGCCGAAACGCUUUGCCGGCAAGGGCCCUUGACCCGAUGUGGGAUCCACAUAUGCCUCCAUGUAUCUCCGCCAACAGCCACAGUCCUUCCUCUCGAGGGAUACACUUCAAUUUCACGCUGUUCGGCCUCUUUCUGUACAGGACGUCAUCGACGAACUGGUACAUAGUAGAGCGACGGGCUACUUUUUCCGCUUCUUCCUGCUCCUCAGGAAGUUCCCCUGUUUGGAGGAAUCGGACGGUAUGUUGUGCCCACGCUGGAGCCUGGGGCUCGACGGCGAGGACUAAAGGCAUUUCCUCCGCUAUCGGAGCGGCUAUCUCCAUGGCAAGAGCUUGAUGCUCUGUCGGAGCCAGUCGUCCCGUGGCGGGCUCAGUGUCUCCGGCAACAUCCUUGCCGACGGCUUCGGGGAGCUCAGCGGGAAAGUACUUGCUGGGCCCUGAUUUUCUCCUCUUGUUCUGCUCUGUUGAUAGAUCAACGGAUGGCUGAGUUAGCCGAAGCACAAAGGUACCUGGUUCCACAGGUAGCUUGAGGGCAGCGCGUUUUGAUAGGUAAUCGGCGAUAUCAUUCUCCGCUCGGGGAACGUAUUCUGCCUGUAUACCGUCGAAACGCUCUUCCAGCUUUCUCACUUCAUCGACGUAGGCCUUCAUCAACGGGCUAUGGUAAUCCUUGUUGACUUGCUUGACGACAAGUUGCGAGUCGCCUCUGACAACGAGUUUCUUGAUUCCGAGGUCCACCGCGAUCCUAAGACCGGCAAGCAGCCCUUCGUACUCAGCCGUAUUGUUUGUUGACACCUCCCUAGGGAAGUGCAUCUGGAUCACGUACUUGAGGUGCUCUCCGGUGGGCGCAACAAGCAGUACGCCAGCCCCGGCGCCCUGUAAGGAGUAAGCUCCAUCAAAGUACAUGAUCCAGUCGCAACUUGCCUCCUUGCCGGGGAGAGCAGUCUCUUGGGUUUCUUCGUCAGGCGUCGCGGUCCAUUCUGCAACGAACUCCUCCAGGACUCGGCUUUGAAUCGUCGAGGUACUCUCAGACUUGAGGCCAAAGCUGGACAGUUCCAGUGCCCACUCUACGAUCCUUCCCGUUGCGUCUGGAUUGUGCAAUAUCCAUUGCAGAGGGAGGCGAGUGACGACAGUGAUUUCGUGCGCCUGGAAGUAGUGAUGCAACUUCCUCGAGGCCAUAAGAAGGCCGAGGAGCAGUUUCUGCACAUCGGAGUACCUCGAUCUAGCCCCCUGCAGGAGGGAACUAACAAAGUAGACCGGGUGCUGCAUCAUUUUCUUCUUCGGCGGCACUUCAAUUGGCUGCAUCGUCUCGGCAUUGGUGGCAUCGGGCUCCGUCGCUGCUAUUACCUCAUCAUCAAUUUCUCUCUGCGCCACUAGUGCGGCACUGACCACCUGGUUCGUUGUCGCCAGGUACAGCAGCAACGGUUCCUGUGGCCUAGGCGCAACUAGUAUUGGCGCGGAGGAGAGGUACCUCUUCAAAUCUUGCAAUGCUGCUUCGGCUUCUGGCGUCCACUCCAUCGGGCCCGCCUUUUUCAAAAUUUUGAAAAAAGGAAGGGCGUGCUCGGCGGACUUGGAAAUGAACCUGCUCAUGGCGGCAACGCAACCAGCAAACCGACGCACAUCCUUGACUCGCUUGGGCGCUUCAAUCUGCUCUAUAGCUUUGAUCUUGUCCGGAUUGGCCUCUAUCCCACGUUGUGACACAAAGAACCCGAGAAGCUUGCCAGACGGGACGCCGAAGACGCACUUCUCAGGGUUCAGCUUGAGAUUGAUCUUGCGUAGGUUUGCAAAUGUUUCUUGUAAAUCUGAUAUGAGGGUUGCCCUGUUCUUGGUUUCGACCACUAUAUCAUCCAUAUAAGCUUCCAUAUUUCUAUGGAGCUGGGGUUCAAAACCAAUCUGGACCACCCUUGCAAAUGUUGAACCAGCACUCUUCAACCCAAAAGGCAUCUGUAUAAAGCAAUACGUACCACAUGGGGUGAUGAAUGUCGUUUUCUCUUUAUCUUCCCUUGUCAUGAAGAUCUAGUGGUAGCCGGAGUAGGCAUCGAGGAAUGAAAAUAGAUCACACCCAGCUGUGGAGUCAACAAUCUGGUCGAUGCGCGGCAACGGGAAGGGGUCUUUGGGACAAGCCUUAUUAAUAUCUGUGUAAUCAAUACACAGCCUCCACUUCCCAUUUGCCUUGCGCACUACCAUCGGAUUGGCCAACCACGUUGGAUGGAGCACUCCUCUUACCAAACCCGCUGCUUCCAGUUUCCGGAUCUCCUCUGUGAUGAACUCUUGUCGUUCCAAAGCUUGAUUUCUGAGACCUUCUGCUUGACGGGCCGCGCAUGAGGACAGACAGCAAGGUGGUGCUCAAUCACCUCCCUGGGAACGCCGGGGAUGUCGGAUGCUUGCCAUGCAAACACAUCGACAUUCGCCCGCAGGAAGGUGACGAGCGCGUCUUCCUAUUUGUCGUCAAGGGUGGAGCUUAUGGUAAAAGCUCCUCCCGUGCCGUCCUCCUUGACACAAACCUUCUUGGGUCCCGGCGGUGUGGCCCUGGACUUCUUGUUUCUGUCGGCGGAGCUCUCUGGCACGUCCUCGACGGGAGCGCUACACUCCGAAGAGGUGCGCUUGCCGGAGUGGGUGCCUGAGGUCUCACCGGUCUUCUUCUUUUGCCUUUACGGGGCUCCAGCGGCAGGAGCAAGCGCCUUAGUAGUGGCGGCUGCUGCAACUGCUUGUUGGUAGAGUUGGUCAGCGUAAAUUAGCGCAUCCUUCUUGUCUGAUGGGACGGUGAUGAUCGCCACAGGCCCCGGCAUCUUCAGGGUGUUGUAGGCGUAAUGUGACACCGCCAUGAACUUGGCCAGUGCUGGGCGGCCAAGGAUCCCGUUGUAAGGCAAGGGGAUCUUGGCAACGUCGAACACAAUCCUUUCUGCCCUGUAGUUCAGAUCACUCCCAAAAGUCACGAGCAACGUGACCUUUCCCUUUGGUUGACUCCUUCCCGGGUUGACCCCCUGAAACAUGCCCGUCUCUUUGAGGUCUUCAUCAGGAAUCUGCAAUUUCUCGAUCACGGCAGGCGAGAUUAAGUUCAGACCGGCCCCGCCAUCGACUAGCAUCUUUGUCACCUUGAGGUUACGUAUUGUUGGUGAAACCAACAAUGGCAAGCACCCGACUGCAGUAGUGCGAUCAGGGUGAUCCUCAGUGUCAAAAAUGAUAGGUGUAACGCCCGGAUGAUGUUGCUACAGUAAUCCCACGUUAAUCAUGCCAUGUCAUCACGGUUACUGUUGCUAAACGUCCGUUUGUUCAAACCGUGUCAAAUUCAAAUUUAAAAUUUAAAAUUAACGUAGGCAAUAAAAGUUUUCAAAAAUUGAAACAAAAAUGUUCGGUCGUUGCCAAAUAUUACAACGGUAAUUAUGGUGCAGCAAACACAUUUUUAUAAAAUGUCUAAUUAAUUUAAAAGGUUUAAAAACAGAAGUGCAAAUAGAUAAAAACAAAACAGAAAAAAAAA